GCUGGGCAUUGUGGCUCAUGCCUGUAAUCCCAGCACUUUGGGAGGCUGAGGCGGGUGGAUCACUUGUGGUCAGGAGUUCAAAACCAGCCUGGCCAACAUAGUGAAACCCUGUCUCUA
ensembl:misc_RNA Metazoa_SRP Metazoan signal recognition particle RNA